rnacentral:rRNA from 1 species
GGGUUGUGAGGUUAAGCGACUAAGCGUACACGGUGGAUGCCCUGGCAGUCAGAGGCGAUGAAGGACGUGCUAAUCUGCGAAAAGCGUCGGUAAGGUGAUAUGAACCGUUACAGCCGGCGAUGUCCGAAUGGGGAAACCCAGUGCAAUUCGUUGCACUAUCGUUAACUGAAUACAUAGGUUAACGAGGCGAACCGGGGGAACUGAAACAUCUAAGUACCCCGAGGAAAAGAAAUCAACCGAGAUUCCCCCAGUAGCGGCGAGCGAACGGGGAGCAGCCCGGAGUCUGAAUCAGCUUGUGUGUUAGUGGAAGCGUCUGGAAAGUCGCAGGGUACAGGGUGAUACUCCCGUACACUAAAACGCACAGGUUGUGAACUCGAAGAGUAGGGCGGGACACGUGGUAUCCUGUCUGAAUAUGGGGGGACCAUCCUCCAAGGCUAAAUACUCCUGACUGACCGAUAGUGAACCAGUACCGUGAGGGAAAGGCGAAAAGAACCCCGGCGAGGGGAGUGAAAAAGAACCUGAAACCGUGUACGUACAAGCAGUAGGAGCCCCACCACCAAAGCGUUUCGCUUUGCGUGGUGCGCAAAAUGCGUAACGACAGCAUGAUGGACGGUUAACGGAGCGUAAGCGACGUUCAACCUCAAAAAUCAGGCAGUGGAGCGUUUUGGGGUGGGGUGACUGCGUACCUUUUGUAUAAUGGGUCAGCGACUUAUAUUCUGUAGCAAGGUUAACCGUAUAGGGGAGCCGCAGGGAAACCGAGUCUUAACUGGGCGUUAAGUUGCAGGGUAUAGACCCGAAACCCGGUGAUCUAGCCAUGGGCAGGUUGAAGGUUGGGUAACACUAACUGGAGGACCGAACCGACUAAUGUUGAAAAAUUAGCGGAUGACUUGUGGCUGGGGGUGAAAGGCCAAUCAAACCGGGAGAUAGCUGGUUCUCCCCGAAAGCUAUUUAGGUAGCGCCUCGUGAAUUCAUCUUCGGGGGUAGAGCACUGUUUCGGCUAGGGGGUCAUCCCGACUUACCAACCCGAUGCAAACUACGAAUACCGAAGAAUGUUAUCACGGGAGACACACGGCGGGUGCUAACGUCCGUCGUGAAGAGGGAAACAACCCAGACCGCCAGCUAAGGUCCCAAAGUCAUGGUUAAGUGGGAAACGAUGUGGGAAGGCCCAGACAGCCAGGAUGUUGGCUUAGAAGCAGCCAUCAUUUAAAGAAAGCGUAAUAGCUCACUGGUCGAGUCGGCCUGCGCGGAAGAUGUAACGGGGCUAAACCAUGCACCGAAGCUGCGGCAGCGACACUAUGUGUUGUUGGGUAGGGGAGCGUUCUGUAAGCCGUUGAAGGUGGCCUGUGAGGGUUGCUGGAGGUAUCAGAAGUGCGAAUGCUGACAUAAGUAACGAUAAUGCGGGUGAAAAACCCGCACGCCGGAAGACCAAGGGUUCCUGUCCAACGUUAAUCGGGGCAGGGUGAGUCGACCCCUAAGGCGAGGCCGAAAGGCGUAGUCGAUGGGAAACAGGUUAAUAUUCCUGUACUUGGUGUUACUGCGAAGGGGGGACGGAGAAGGCUAUGUUGGCCGGGCGACGGUUGUCCCGGUUUAAGCAUGUAGGCGGAUGUUCCAGGUAAAUCCGGAACGUCACUAACGCUGAGGUGUGAUGACGAGGCACUACGGUGCUGAAGUGACAAAUGCCCUGCUUCCAGGAAAAGCCUCUAAGCAUCAGGUAACAUCAAAUCGUACCCCAAACCGACACAGGUGGUCAGGUAGAGAAUACCAAGGCGCUUGAGAGAACUCGGGUGAAGGAACUAGGCAAAAUGGUGCCGUAACUUCGGGAGAAGGCACGCUGAUGGUAGGUGAAGUGACUUGCUCACGGAGCUGAAAUCAGUCGAAGAUACCAGCUGGCUGCAACUGUUUAUUAAAAACACAGCACUGUGCAAACACGAAAGUGGACGUAUACGGUGUGACGCCUGCCCGGUGCCGGAAGGUUAAUUGAUGGGGUUAUCCUCGCGGAGAAGCUCUUGAUCGAAGCCCCGGUAAACGGCGGCCGUAACUAUAACGGUCCUAAGGUAGCGAAAUUCCUUGUCGGGUAAGUUCCGACCUGCACGAAUGGCGUAAUGAUGGCCAGGCUGUCUCCACCCGAGACUCAGUGAAAUUGAACUCGCUGUGAAGAUGCAGUGUACCCGCGGCAAGACGGAAAGACCCCGUGAACCUUUACUAUAGCUUGACACUGAACACUGGUCCUUGAUGUGUAGGAUAGGUGGGAGGCUUUGAAGUGUGGACGCCAGUCUGCAUGGAGCCGUCCUUGAAAUACCACCCUUUAAUGGCUGGUGUUCUAACGUGGGCCCGUGAUCCGGGUUGCGGACAGUGUCUGGUGGGUAGUUUGACUGGGGCGGUCUCCUCCUAAAGAGUAACGGAGGAGCACGAAGGUCAGCUAAUCCUGGUCGGACAUCAGGAGGUUAGUGCAAUGGCAUAAGCUGGCUUGACUGCGAGCGUGACGGCGCGAGCAGGUGCGAAAGCAGGUCAUAGUGAUCCGGUGGUUCUGAAUGGAAGGGCCAUCGCUCAACGGAUAAAAGGUACUCCGGGGAUAACAGGCUGAUACCGCCCAAGAGUUCAUAUCGACGGCGGUGUUUGGCACCUCGAUGUCGGCUCAUCACAUCCUGGGGCUGAAGUAGGUCCCAAGGGUAUGGCUGUUCGCCAUUUAAAGUGGUACGCGAGCUGGGUUUAGAACGUCGUGAGACAGUUCGGUCCCUAUCUGCCGUGGGCGCUGGAGAAUUGAGGGGGGCUGCUCCUAGUACGAGAGGACCGGAGUGGACGCAUCACUGGUGUUCGGGUUGUCAUGCCAAUGGCAUUGCCCGGUAGCUAAAUGCGGAAGAGAUAAGUGCUGAAAGCAUCUAAGCACGAAACUUGCCCCGAGAUGAGUUCUCCCUGACUCCUUGAGAGUCCUGAAGGAACGUUGAAGACGACGACGUUGAUAGGCCGGGUGUGUAAGCGCAGCGAUGCGUUGAGCUAACCGGUACUAAUGAACCGUGAGGCUUAACCUUACAACGCCGAAG